AAUUUUAAAAAUUGCAGUCUCAGGCAUAAAUAUACUAACAAAAGGAUAAAGAAGCCUCCAAAAACCCAGAUAGGAGACUGAAAUUCCUCUUUGAAUCCUGUCCGAAGUCACAGCU
ensembl:snoRNA